rnacentral:rRNA from 1 species
UACGGAGGGUGCAAGCGUUAAUCGGAAUUACUGGGCGUAAAGCGUGCGCAGGCGGUUUGAUAAGCCAGAUGUGAAAUCCCCGAGCUCAACCUGGGAACUGCGUUUGGAACUGGCAGACUAGAGUGCGGCAGAGGGGGGUGGAAUUCCGCGUGUAGCGGUGAAAUGCGUAGAGAUGCGGAGGAACACCGAUGGCGAAGGCAGCCCCCUGGGCUGAGACUGACGCUCAGGUACGAAAGCGUGGGGAGCAAACAGG